rnacentral:rRNA from 1 species
UAGGGAAUCUUCCGCAAUGGGCGCAAGCCUGACGGAGCAACGCCGCGUGAGUGAUGAAGGCCUUCGGGUUGUAAAACUCUGUCUUCCGGGACGAACCGGUGGGAGAGGAAAUGCUCCCGCCCUGACGGUACCGGAGGAGGAAGCCCCGGCUAACUACGUG